AUUGAACGCUGGCGGCAUGCUUUACACAUGCAAGUCGAACGGCAGCACGGGUGCUUGCACCUGGUGGCGAGUGGCGGACGGGUGAGUAAUACAUCGGAACGUGUCCAGAAGAGGGGGAUAACGCAUCGAAAGAUGCGCUAAUACCGCAUAUGCUCUGAGGAGGAAAGUGGGGGAUCGAAAGACCUUACGCUUUUGGAGCGGCCGAUGUCUGAUUAGCUAGUUGGUGGGGUAAGGGCCUACCAAGGCGACGAUCAGUAGUUGGUCUGAGAGGACGACCAGCCACACUGGGACUGAGACACGGCCCAGACUCCUACGGGAGGCAGCAGUGGGGAAUUGUUCGCAAUGGGCGCAAGCCUGACGACGCAACGCCGCGUGGAGGAUGAAGAUCUUCGGGUCGUAAACUCCUUUCGAUCGAGACGAAUGGCCCUUGGGAUAAUACCCUGAGGGAGUGACGGUACCGAGAGAAGAAGCCCCGGCUAACUCCGUGCCAG
rnacentral:rRNA from 1 species